rnacentral:snoRNA from 1 species
AAGAUUCUAUUUUGAGGAAACACUUCUAUAUUUCUCUGCUAGAGAAGGUUCUCCAAACCUGUAAGGAGCUGAAAAUCACAAGGAGGAGGCACAGUGUUCUCUCUGAGGGUGGACCAGACUAUUGGUGAUGUGUCCCUGCAACUGCCACUCACCACUGAUGGUUACUCUUUCUUUGGGGAGAGGGAAAGGAUAUGCUCUGAGUAG